UGCUUUACACAUGCAAGUCGAACGGCAGCACGGGAGCUUGCUCCUGGUGGCGAGUGGCGAACGGGUGAGUAAUGCGUCGGAACGUACCGAGUAAUGGGGGAUAACGCAGCGAAAGCUGUGCUAAUACCGCAUACGCCCUGAGGGGGAAAGUGGGGGAUCGCAAGACCUCACGUUAUUCGAGCGGCCGACGUCUGAUUAGCUAGUUGGUGAGGUAAUGGCUCACCAAGGCGACGAUCAGUAGCGGGUCUGAGAGGAUGAUCCGCCACACUGGAACUGAGACACGGUCCAGACUCCUACGGGAGGCAGCAGUGGGGAAUUUUGGACAAUGGGGGCAACCCUGAUCCAGCCAUUCCGCGUGAGUGAAGAAGGCCUUCGGGUUGUAAAGCUCUUUCAGCUGGAAAGAAACGGUGAGCUCUAACAUAGCUUGCUAAUGACGGUACCAGCAGAAGAAGCACCGGCUAACUACGUGCCAGCAGCCGCGGUAAUACGUAGGGUGCGAGCGUUAAUCGGAAUUACUGGGCGUAAAGCGUACGUAGGCGGCCUAUUAAGCAAGAUGUGAAAGCCCCGGGCUCAACCUGGGAAUGGCAUUUUGAACUGGUGGGCUAGAGUUUUGAAGAGGGUGGUAGAAUUUCCAGUGUAGCGGUGAAAUGCGUAGAUAUUGGAAGGAAUACCAGUGGCGAAGGCGGCCACCUGGUCAAAAACUGACGCUGAGGUACGAAAGCGUGGGGAGCAAACAGGAUUAGAUACCCUGGUAGUCCACGCCGUAAACGAUGUCAACUAGUUGUUUGUCUUAUAAACAAGGUGAGUAGCGCAGCUAACGCACUAAGUUGACCGCCUGGGGAGUACGGCCGCAAGGUUAAAACUCAAAUGAAUUGACGGGGGCCCGCACAAACGGUGGAGCAUGUGGUUUAAUUCGAUGCAACGCGAAGAACCUUACCAUCCCUUGACAUCCAGUGAAUC
rnacentral:rRNA from 1 species